UACGGCCGUAUAGCGUCGAAACACCGGUUUCGUACGAUCACUGAAGUUAAGCAAGGUUGAGCCUGGUUAAUACCUAGAGAGGUGACCGCUUGGGAACGCGAGAUGUUGUAA